AAGUGAAUCUAAAAAUCACAUGGAUUGUGCUAGUUAGUUCUUUGUCAACUUGAUGUAAGCAAGUCUGGGUUAUCUGUGAAGAAGAAACUUCAAUUGAGAAAAUGCCUCCAUCACAAUAUCCUGUAAGCAAGUCUAUGUGGUAUUUUUCUUAAUUAAUGAUUGUGAUGGGAGAGCCCAGCUCACCAGGCAGUGCCACUCUGGACAAGUAGUCCUGGGUGGUAUAAGAAUUCAGGUUGAGUAAUUCACGGGGAGCAGUCCAUAAGUAGCUCUCUUCCAUGGCUUCUGCUUCAGUUUCCACCUCCAGGUUCCUGCCCUGACUUUCUUCAGUAGACUGUGACUCAGGAUAUGAAAGCCAAAUUAGGCUUCCUCCUCAAAGAAAGGUUCUGUUAUGGUCUUAUCACAGCAAUAGAAGGCAAACUAGGACGAAUGUUUAUAGGCACUAAUAUGAACACUGAUAUUUCUUUGAGGGAGGGGAGACACUGGCUUUUUCUGUCUAUUAAUGAAAGGUUACUAGUCUAUGAUAAUACAGUGAAACAUAAUAGAAAAACAAAUGCUUUCUACUGUUAAAAGACAAAAUAAGGAAAUGAACAAAAAGCUCAACUUGGAAGGAAGCAUUGUGAGACAUACAGUCUAUGAGUCAGAAUUCAGAUGCCUUUUUAAAAUGAGGAAGACAUCACAUUUCAAAAGAAACUUCAUGGUGUUCUGUUUUCUUUCUUCCUUUACUCUUUGCCACUAAAUAGCAACCUGUUCUGGAAUCUUGAAAGCCACCAAGAAGAGGAAAACCCAGGUAAGAUGUUUGGCUAGUCCAUUGACGAGGAUGACUGGGCUUCAAAGAAAAUAUUUUCUGAGAGAGUCAAAUGUUAGACUGCAGAGUGGACGCUAAAAUCGAACCACAUAGGAUGAUUUCAGCUUGUAGAAUUUGGUGCUCUGCUAGAGCUCCCAUAAAAUGGAAACAAGUAACUUUUGUGCUGUUUCCACAGCUCCCGUACUAUUUUGAGAGUGGCCUCUAUUUCACAGAUCUCAAAGGAGUCUAAGGUAAUUUUUCUACCCACCUGCCAGUGUCCUGGCAAUGGGCAGGUUUGUGCAAGCACAAGUCAUGACAUAUCAGCCAUCCAGACUGGAGAGCUUAGGCCUUGAAAACCAUUGUAAAGGAAAAGUCACUCCCACUGGUCUCCUUUGUCUGACUCAUGGCAGCCUUUGAUAUUUGAAAGGGAGGCCAUUAAUAGAUCAUAAUCUAUUUAUUUUCCUUUUCCAAAGAAGUGCUCCCAGCAAGGAAAGAUCUAGGUGUGUGCACAAGACGAAACCUCCUGUUGGAACAAUAGAUACCUGCAGAGGAGCCAGAGGAAAAAGACCAGUUCCCGCCCACCUGAUUCUCACUUCAAGCGAGAGGAUGGGCCAGAGACAGCAGGCUUCCCUUGUACCCAAGAGCUCCGUAUCCAAUUAGGGUGGAACGGGCCUGGAGAACAAGUUCUGCAAAGCAGGACACUGGGAACACCAGUUUGGAGAUGGAGCCCAACCACAGAUGUGGGCACAGAGACCAUUCAGUUGGCUUCAACGACCAGACUUAGGAAAGGCAAUAUGUGACCCCAGGACUGAAACUUGGCUCCACCACUCUCUGGUCAUACCAACUUGGUGGUUCCUGCAUGCCAUGGAGAACCUACUGGAUCCCACGUGAAGUCCAGCUUAGAACUGGGACAUCACAAAUGCCAAAGAUCACAUUAGUGACAGCAGAGAUAGAAGACCCACAAUUCCCCCAGUAAGGCACCCACAAGAGUCUACAGACUUCCCACUAUAAAAAAUGGCACUAAAGAUGCUUAGUUUCCAGCCAUCACCGUGAAGUACCCUGGAGAAAAGCAGCUAACCAGAAACGGACACGCGGAAGACAAAGGAGCAUUAUUUCCAUCUUCCUAAAUAGAGUUGUGUGAGAGGAGACAAUGAAAGAAGUGUCAGCCUAGCUAUCAGUUUCCAAUUUGCCCCACCCAACUAAGGUCAUGCGAGACAGAAAACAAAUUACUCAUUUGACACCCAGAAGACAGGAAGUAGAGCUGUCCAAGGCAGGAGCCUAUUUCUAAAUUAAAUCAGGCUUCUUGAUUCCAGAGAAUUCCAGAUGACCAAUAAGAAAGGGCCGAUGACACACCUCCAGGCAGACUCUUCCAAAAAUAACAUUUAUAAUUAGCAGCCAGUGGGAAAACCCAAGUCUACAGAGCCUGUUGUUCUUGCUAGCUUUCUCUGUGGCCACCCACUGAGCACCCUUGAGGAAGGAACAAGCUGGUUAAGCCAAACACAGCUUCUUCCUUGUCCUUAGCCAGCCUGGCUCUUGACCUCUGCCCUGCUACAUGCUAAUCUGCAUCCACUCCCUCUCACUAUGUCUCAGCCCUCCGCCCAACAGUGAUAAGUAAGCCCUUGGGAAGCUCUUCUUUGGAUUCAGAAAGGAGGAUUCUAUUCAGAAGGCUUAUCAGUGCCAACUCUGGCACACCACAUGCUACAUCCAAGUAAACUUACCCUGGUGGGUGAAUUAGCCUCUCUUCCUUGCCCAUUAAAAGGAACUGAGCUACAUGCUCUGUAAAAAUGAAAUCAAAAUUCCUUUUCCCUCAAAUCCUGAGCUAUGUUUUUUGUUAAGCUUCAUACACUUCUUUCCUUUGAUUUCUGAGCUAGGAUGUUGUAGCCACGAAGGUGGAUCCACCUCUGACCCCCAUAAACUAGAGCAGUGUCUUGAGCAGAGAAGACACACAAUGUGGAGUGAAUGGAUGACAACCUCACUCACCCUGGUUUCUCUUUUGACAGAGAAUAAAUGACCCGGGAGGGUGUGGGAUGCUUGAAAGGAUAUCCCUUCUGUGGACAGAUAGAGUCUGUGUACUAGUGUAUGUGUGGAGGCCAGAGGUUGACAUAGAGAUGUUUGCCUCAAUUACUUUCUACCUUAGUUUUUAGAUAGGAUUUCUCACUGAACCUGGAGCUCAUUGAUUUGGCUAGACUACCUGGCCAGCAAGCUCCAGGGCUUCUGCCAUUGUCCUUUAUCAGGAUUAUAGUCCCAUGCUGCCAUACCCAAGUUUUUAUGUAGAUGUGUGGGUCUCAAACGUUAGAAUGGGUCUGGUACAAAAUUAAGUCCUCAAAAUGGAUUUGCUGACUGGCCAGCUUGAAUGGGGAAGGAUCCAUGCUUAGGAAAUGGGCUAAGGAUGACAUGAGACUGACGCGCUGCCUACUGCGCUAAGGAGGCGCCUGUCAGGCUAAGGAUGAUAAUAUAAUUUGCCAAUUACAUGUGAAACUCCCACCCCAGAUAGGCUGUGAUUCCAGCUGCAUUCAAUUCUUAUGUGACAGAUUUCAUCAGAAGGUUCUUUUUGGGUGGGAAAUGUGACUUUAGUUAAAACUGUUCUGCUUCCUGAUGAGACCAUUAAUCACUGUGUUGGCCAACAUCUGACAACAUUGCACACACUAGUCAUAAGUACCUUUAACAUAAGUUGCAUCAAAAGGGUGGGGGACCCAAGAAGCUGCACAUUAUUAGAAACACCACCUGCCUGCUCUGCAGAAGCCACUGUGGGGAAGUAGUUCCCAGGACACUGCAGACAACAAGGUCAUCAGAGAGUAAAUGACAGGAGGGUGUGGGAAGCUUGAACAGACAUGCCUUGUGUGUAAGUUUGAAGUCUGUAUAUUUGUCCAUGUGUGGAGGCCAGAGGCUGACAUAAAGAUGUUUGCCUUGAUUGUUUUCCACUUUAUUCUUUGAGAUGGGAUCUCUCACUGACCCUGCAGCUCA